UACGGGGGGUGCAAGCGUUGUCCGGAAUCAUUGGGCGUAAAGAGUUCGUAGGCGGCACGUAAAGUCUGGUGUUAAAGGCAGAGGCUCAACUUCUGUACGGCACUGGAUACUUGCGAGCUAGAAUGCGGUAGAGGUAAAGGGAAUUCCUGGUGUAGCGGUGAAAUGCAUAGAUAUCGCGCAGAACCCCGAUUGCGAAGGCAGCGUGCCGUGCCGCCACUGACGCUGAGGCACGAAAGCGCGGGGAUCGAACAGG
rnacentral:rRNA from 1 species